UACGUAGGGGGCAAGCGUUAUCCGGAAUCACUGGGUGUAAAGGGUGCGUAGGCGGUUAUGCAAGUCAGAUGUGGAAAUGUCGAGGCUCCAACUUCGGAACUGCAUUUGAACUGCGUGACUAGAGUACAGGAGAGGGUAAGUGGGAAUUCCUAGUGUAGCGGUGAAAUGCGUAGAUAUUAGGAAGAACACCAGUGGCGAAGG
rnacentral:rRNA from 1 species